rnacentral:rRNA from 1 species
AUGGUUAUUUCUGUAGAUCCAACCUUGCAGAAAGCCAUGGUUGUCGUCAUCGCAGAGUUCAGGUAUUACUCUUGUCAACAUCACCAUGUUUGUUGUACCACUCUUGCUUGUCCUCAUGAAUGCAUGCAACAACCAUACACACAAAUGGCAGUGCUGGAGCUGCACGACUCAUGUAGAGGGCUUAAGGAAAAAAGAGAUUUUAUAUGGAGAUCUGCAGUUAAAUUGAUAGAACGGUGUGUUUCCAAAUCAUAUCGUUGUCUGAAAAUUACAGUGCUAUAUACUUGUUCUUGCAUAUUGUUCAACAAUGCAAGUUCUACACAAUGUGUUCAAGUUUUUUCAUCAAUAGCUUUAAGUUUUAUUUCUACUUUUGGAUGA